CCUAAAUACUUCAGCAAACCAAAUGCACGCCGCUGGAAAAAAAAAAAAAAAAAGAAGAAGAAACUUGCAGACUUCAUCUAUUUUCUUUGGUCGCCGUCUUUGUAACCCAACACCCGAUACAAUUCAAUUCUUUUAUCUUCCAUUGUCUACGGAUGAAUGACCAAUAUCUUCCUUCUCGUUUCAUUAUCCUCAUCAAAAUCACUCUCGUUUAUAUGUCACGUAAAGAGAAAUCAAACCGUGACUUAUUCUUUCUGGCAUCAACAUUGCCGCAAAGCUUUUCUGGCCUCCAUAGUGGUGCACCGAAACAAUGACAAGCAAUUUCGCAUUCUCCACGUCGAGAGCUUUGUCUUACAUCUCUUCGUGUUUAAGUUUCGUCAACAUUCAUGAAAAUCUGAUGGCGGCGGUGUUACGUGUUGUUGUUAUCCGUAAGCACCGUUUCGAGUCAUCCAUGUCGUUGCGAUUUGGUUAUCCUCUGGACCCGCUUUCAAACAAUUUAUUUCUGGAUUGCUCCGACGCUGCUGAAAUUAAUGUCUUAUCGUACGAGAUCGCCAAAUGAGUCAUUUCAGGUUAUUAGUUGGUGAUCCACGCUCUGAUAGGUGAUACUGGGUGGGAGUAAUCUGUCGUAUUCUAUUGAGUUAUAAAUUAAUUUUUGUAAAUUUGAUCGAUCAAUUGUGUUAUUUUUAUUUUUUAUUCGGAUGUAGAAAUUAAUUGUCUCUAAGUUUAGAACGUGUUUUCAUGUCAGAAAAUUUUAUUUAAUAAACCUCGACUAUAUUUGAU